rnacentral:ncRNA from 1 species
UAUUGCUGGGGGAGUCUGCGGACUGAGAAAGUAUACGGGCAACCGUACUGACCCUUUGUACCUGAUCCGGGUGAUACCGGCGGAGGGAAGCAUG